rnacentral:rRNA from 1 species
UACGAAGGGUGCAAGCGUUAAUCGGAAUUACUGGGCGUAAAGGGUGCGUAGGCGGUUAUUUAAGUCUGCCGUGAAAUCCCCGGGCUCAACCUGGGAAUGGCGGUGGAUACUGGAUAGCUAGAGUGUGUCAGAGGAUGGUGGAAUUCCCGGUGUAGCGGUGAAAUGCGUAGAGAUCGGGAGGAACAUCAGUGGCGAAGGCGGCCAUCUGGGACAACACUGACGCUGAAGCACGAAAGCGUGGGGAGCAAACAGGGAUUAGAA